GGAGGACCACCUCCUAAGGCUAAAUACUACUAAGUGACCGAUAGUGAACCAGUACCGUGAGGGAAAGGUGAAAAGUACCCUAAAAAGGGAGUGAAAUAGACCCUGAAACCGUAUAUCUACAAGCAGUCAAAGCACUAUGAUUUAUCAGUGCGAUGGCGUGCCUUUUGCAUAAUGAGCCUGCGAGUUACCCUCUGUAGCAAGGUUAAGCUGAUAAGUGUAGCCGAAGCGAAAGCGAGUCUGAAUAGGGCGUAUAGUUGCAGGGGGUAGACCCGAAACCGUGUGAUCUAUCCAUGGCCAGGUUGAAGCACGAGUAAGAUCGUGUGGAGGACCGAACCCACCGAUGUUGAAAAAUUGGGGGAUGAGCUGUGGAUAGGGGUGAAAGGCCAAUCAAACUCGGAAAUAGCUGGUUCUCUCCGAAAUAUAUUUAGGUAUAGCCUCACGUAUUGCCUUUGGAGGUAGAGCACUGAAUGGGUUAGGGGUCUCACCAGAUUACCGACCCCAAUCAAACUCCGAAUGCCAAAGAGUAUUAGCGUGGGAGUCAGUCAUUGGGAGAUAACUUCCUUUGACGAGAGGGAAACAACCCAGACCGCCAGCUAAGGUCCCUAAAUCUAUGCUCAGUGGGAAAGGAUGUGGGAGCGCAUUGACAACCAGGAGGUUGGCUUAGAAGCAGCCACCCUUUAAAGAAAGCGUAAUAGCUCACUGGUCCAGCGAACCUGCGCCGAAAAUGUAACGGGGCUAAGCAUAGUACCGAAGCUGCGGAUUCGAAAGAAUGGUAGGAGAGUAUUCCAACGGCGAUGAAGGUUCACCGAAAGGAGGGCUGGAGCUUUUGGAAGAGCUUAUGCAGGCAUGAGUAGCGAUAAAACGGGCGAGAAACCCGUUCGCCGUAAGCCUAAGGUUUCCUAGGCCAGGUUAAUCCUCCUAGGGUGAGUCGGACCCUAAGCCNAGGCCGAAAGGCGUAGGUGAUGGAAAACAGGCGAAUAUUCCUGUACCAACUCANNNANNNUGAAGCCAGAAGGGACGGAGAAGGAUAGAUCAGCCACACUUUGGUNAGUGGUUUAAGCCGGUAGGCUGUCGUUUUAGGAGGCNNAGGCCACAAACGGAACGACAAAGCCGAGAGGUGAUGAGGUGGACUANGUCCUNAACUGAUUAAUUCCAUGCUUCCAAGAAAANCUUCGGGUGGAGUNNNUGAGCUGACCGUACCGUAAACCAACACAGGUAGGCGGGGAGAGCAUCCCAAGGCGCUUGAGAGAACUCUGGUUAAGGAACUCGGCAAAUUAGCACCGUAACUUCGGGAGAAGGUGUGCCUCUACGUAUGUGAAAGAACUUGCUUCUGGAGCAGAAAGAGGUUGCAGUGAAAUGGCGGUAGCGACUGUUUACUAAAAACACAGGACUCUGCAAAGUCGAAAGACGAAGUAUAGGGUCUGACGCCUGCCCGGUGCCGGAAGGUUAAGAGGAGUGGUCAGCGUAUGCGAAGCCAUGAAUUGAAGCCCCGGUAAACGGCGGCCGUAACAAUAACGGUCCUAAGGUAGCGAAAUUCCUUGUCGGGUAAG
rnacentral:rRNA from 1 species